rnacentral:rRNA from 1 species
CAGCAGCCGCGGGAAUACGUAGGGGGCAAGCGUUGUCCGGAAUUACUGGGCGUAAAGCGUGCGCAGGCGGUUUUGUAAGACAGGCGUGAAAUCCCCGGGCUCAACCUGGGAAUGGCGCUUGUGACUGCAAAGCUAGAGUGCGGCAGAGGGGGAUGGAAUUCCGCGUGUAGCAGUGAAAUGCGUAGAUAUGCGGAGGAACACCGAUGGCGAAGGCAAUCCCCUGGGCCUGCACUGACGCUCAUGCACGAAAGCGUGGGGAGCAAACAGGAUUAGAUACCCCCGUAGUCCCUGUCUCUUAUAC